GCGGAUGUGGCGGAACUGGCAGACGCACUGGAUUUAGGUUCCAGCGCCGAGAGGCGUGGAGGUUCGAGUCCUCUCAUCCGCACCA
rnacentral:tRNA from 1 species